UACGUAGGGGGCAAGCGUUGUCCGGAAUCAUUGGGCGUAAAGCGCGUGUAGGCGGCUCGGUAAGUCCGCUCUGAAAGUCCAGGGCUCAACCCUGGGAUGCGGGUGGAUACUGCCGAGCUCGAGUCCGGAAGAGGCGAGUGGAAUUCCUGGUGUAGCGGUGAAAUGCGCAGAUAUCAGGAGGAACACCAAUGGCGAAGGCAGCUCGCUGGGACGUGACUGACGCUGAGACGCGAAAGCGUGGGGGAGCAAACAGG
rnacentral:rRNA from 1 species